UUUUGAAUACAGGAAUCGAAGGGGAGAGGAUUACUGCAGGACAAAACAAGUCAGAGGUUGGACAAAUACAACAAUUUUUCAAGGAUGUGUGUUCCGUAUAUGUAAAACAAGCCAGAGAAAACCCACAGACAACAACACAAAACAAGUCUCAAUUGAACAUUACUGCAGCAUAAAACAUCCCCAAAUUUAAUAAAGCCAAAUAAAGACACCUCGCAUAUUUCAGGAUUUCGUACAAGUGGUGUUUAUGGUUUCAUGGGAAUCGAAGGGGAGAGGAUGUUCGCCACGAGGGAGUUGCGGAAGGGUGCGGCAGAGAUAGCCGACCUUCGGAGUUAGCCGACCGACAGCACACGGGGGCUGGAGAGAUGGGUUCGGCGGCGGAAGCGACCAGCCGACUGAAAAUGGGCGAGCCAUAUAAACUGCAACUCGGGCUUUGGUAACCUGGCGAGGUCGACGGUGGAGAUCUGCGCGUGGAAGGUUCUUGGAUCCGGAGGCGGAGAUACAACGGACGCAAUAUUCUCCUACAAAGUGUCUCUGAAGAUGUCUAAGAGAGGGGAGACCGGAGGCAAGUAGCCGGCUGGAGAUCGAUUGCCAGUCGGUGGGUGCCUUUUUGAAGUACUCCAAGAAGCCCUUUUGCUAAUCAACCCUUUCAAGUUUAUCAUAAUGAUGAUUGCAGAGACAGGACGUCGUUCUCCAUCCAGAUCUUUCUAAAACCCGCGGUCAAACACUUGCGCAAACUACCCUCAGAUGAUUCAAACCCAGAAAAAAGGUCACGAUCUCUGUUUCAUAUUUGGAGUUCCCCACAAAUUUUCUCAGAUCCUUGCCAUCAAUCAUUAGUAUGAUUGGAUCCCUCUUAAGCCUCCAUGUAACACCCAACCGAAUGUGCUAUAGCACUAUAUCGAACUCAAAACUCCUCAUUUUCUUUGCUUUCCGCUCACGAAUUCACUCAAACCUCGGUGUAGAUGUGAUCAGGCUUAGAGGACAACUAACGGUAGGCAGGCGGAAGGUAAAGCCGAUGUCGGUGGCAAUGGACUGGAGCUCUGGCGUCAAAAGCUUACUGUCUUGAUCUCGAUCGAACUCCUGGAACUUGUUCUCUACGAAUCUGCUAAAGGCUUCCCCGUCUCCGACCAGCUUCUCUAUCUCGGCACUGCAAUAACCCUUCAAUAAUCCCCCUAUAACCCCAUAAUAACCUCUGUGGUUUCGCUCCAAUUACCCCUGCAAUAAACUCUCAAUAACCCCAGAUAACCCCCCAAUAACCUCCACGGUUCCACUUCAAGAACUUCCUAUAAUAACCUACUAAUAAUCUCUGUGGUUCUAGUUCAAUAAUCCCCUUCAUUAACCCCCACAAUAACCCUUUAAUAACUUCCCAAUAAA